rnacentral:lncRNA from 1 species
GUUUAUUGUAAAGUAAAGCACAAGGUGAAAAAUGGCAAAACAGAACUAAAGUUAAUCUAAACUGGGAAAAACUAGUGAUGUGACGUUGUGUAUCGAGGCUUCAAAGCUUGUGUCGACUAAUGGAGGGGGCGUUUCCGCGACGCGCGUAUCGAGGCUUGCUUCAUUUAUGGGAGGAGCUGAAAAUGAUGACGUCCGAAGCCUCGCUGCCCGGCUGUACCACGUGACUGGUUCAUGAAGUGGUUCGAACUUUGCCGCGAGCUAUGACAGCGAUAUAAACCCCUCAGACUUCAUUCAAAAAUGUGGGUGUUUGAUGGAGAGUUGUGGUUAGUGAGAGUUUGGAGACAGUUUGGAGGUUUAGGAGAGUGAGGAGAGAAAGUCAGGAGAGAAUGGAGCCAGCUAAGAAGAGGAGGAUGUCCUCCCCUGUGUGGGAACAUUUUGAUCUUAUUCUUCCCAACAAGGUAUGUAAAUUUCUACAGAAGAUGUAUUUUCAUAAUACUGAUGGUGCAAUACAAUUUAUGUUAAGCUGUCUUUACUUUUGUACAAGGUGAAGUGUUUGCUAUGUGCCAGGGAGCUGGGAUAUAACAACAACACCUCAUCCAUGCUCAGGCACUACAGAGCUUUGCAUGAGAAUAAGGGGAACACCGAUUGUGGAGCAAGACCAGGAGAACAAUCUCAAAUAGAUGAAGACCUGGUUAGCAUGGUGAUUGAGGACUCCCAGCCAUUUAGCAUUGUGGAGGACAAAGGAUUUAAAAGAUUUGUUAAAUCAUUAAAUCCUAGCUAUGUUCUCCCCACUAAAAAGGUCAUAAAAGCAGUGAAAAUUUAGUUUUUACAGAAUAAAAUGUGAACAGACAGGACUGAGGCUCAAAGCCUCAGUGUGUAGCUGUCCAUACCUCAAAGUUACAAAAGCACAACCACUGUCCAUACCCCAACCACACCUCACCUCACUGUAAAUGAUCAUUUCCAUUUUAAGCAUUUCCAAAUGAUAAUUUUCCAUACUGCCAGUAUAAAUAUACACAGUAUACUGCCAUCACUACAAUAUACAUGUUUUACACACUCCUUUUGUUGUUGACAUUUACAGGCUGUGUGCAAAAUGCCACACUCUUCAAAUUCAUGCCAACUAAUAUUUUUCCGUCCAGUAGAUGUCCUACUAGAGCAAAUGAAGCUUCAAGAAGCUUUGUGCUGGGGUGAACCAAUUGGAUGAAAAGCUUCAGUGCUUCAUGAAGCUUCAUCUGCCCAUCACUAGGAAAAACUAAACUACUAAACAGCAAACAUGAAGGAAGGUGAGCAGAUGCAUAAGAAGGUGGAUGGCAGGGAAACACACAGAGAAUACACAGGAGACUUACAGACAGAACAGCGACUAGUACAUGAAUAGACACGAGUUAAAUACAAACAGAAGAACACAGGGAGAUUACACACAGGUGGGGAACACAGCUGGACGUAACUGACAAGACGAGACAGGGGAAGCAAAACUGAAUUCACUCACAUGAGACACGGAUCUUCACAAUAAAACAGGAAACAAGAAACAAUUCACAAGGCCUUAAGCAGCUGCGCGCUCCCGAUCACUUUCUAGCACAACACCUGGAGCUAAGGGGGCAAAACAAUGGCAUGAGUGCUGCUGUUUGACUGAGGAAGAAUAAAGUAGUCGUGGUAAGCCAAUCACAUGACCACUUCAAGACAAAGCAACAAGGUGAUAUAUACCAGUUUAUAAAUUGUGUUGAUAGGCCACGUAAAACCAGAGUCAUGAUAAACAAUAAAUACGCGGCGUUUUUUCCUCAAUAGUUUUGUCACGUUUACUGUCUAAGGACAGGGCUAGCAAGCACUCACUGCUUAUGAGAGAAAAAAACAAAAACAAAAAAAGGAAAGUUUUAGUAGUGACGGCAAGAGGGAGAGAGAGAGAGAGAGAAAGUUUUGAAAUGUGAGAGAUUUGUGACGUUUAGCGUGUUUGGAGUGUGUAGUUAAUGUGUUGUCUUGUGUAGUUAGUGUGUAGUGUUGUGGAUAGUUUUGUGUUGUGUGUCAGAACAAUGAGGCGACUGCUGUCUCCAGGUAGAAAAAGGAGUGAUACACCUGCUGCAGUCAGGCCUGCAGGUAUCAGGCUGUGAUGUUCUCCUUUAUAGUGGACAGAAAUAAUUUUUUUGGAGUGGCACAAAUAAUUUGUGUGGCAUCUUAUUGAAUGCGGAACACCUGAUUGUUCUGUAAAUAGUUUGAAAUGGUUAUUUAAAAAAUCAAGGUAAAAGGUAAAUGGAUGCAAAUAAAUUUGUUGUUUGCAAAACUUGUGCAUAGGAUUUUAAAAUUGACAAUUAAUAUUUGCAUUUAAAGUUAUGAAAUAUGAUUCAUUAAACAUGUUUGUGGUUGUUACAGUAAAAAAUAUAACUUUCUACUCUGAUUUUAUGUUUUUUGUCUGAUUUUAGAUCAAUUGUGUUAAUACAGUAUGUCAAAAUGAAAACAUAACUGUAAAUUCAGACACGUGAGGUUGUGCUAUACUUGUAGUCAAGACCGCCUAAUCCGAGACCAAGACAAGACCAAGACCACGUUGAGACGAGAUCAAGACCGAGACCAAGUCAAGACAAAAAAAGUCUUUAAACUGCAGCCAGAUGCUGCUACGUUUACAGGUGUCAGGCAUAUUUAUGUGUUUCUGCACUCGCACAGCCCUCCUCACCGCUGUCUACUGUCUCACUCACUUACUGAGAGGACAGACGGAUGCUCCACUUGACUGUCGCGUCUCUCACCCUCUCUGUUUUUCACAUAAUGAUAUUAUCCUAUAUCCUCGCAUGUGAUUGGCCACAAUAUGGAGGGAUUGGAGCAUAGCUGAGCCACUGUGUGAGAGCUGAGCAGCGAAAGGAAAUUAAGUGAGGGUAGAACAGGGGCGGAUCUAGAAGGGUGGCAUGGGGUGGCAACUGCCACCCUAAAAUGAUCCCUUGCCACCCCAAGUGCCACCCCAGUUUUGCAUAUGACAGUGUUGUUUAUUAAAAUAAGAUAGCAUUAACAGUUUGAGCGUAGUUACAGUCAACAGUGAAUAUAAAUGCUAAAACUGAAUAUAUUGCAUAGUGUUCCCCCCCUCCACCAUUAACAAAUGGUUCAGCCCAUAGCAGGACCGGCUUUUUUCUUGUUAUCAGUAGCAAGUGAUGUUUAUGAUUGUGCCAGAGCACAUUUUGAACAACACCAUGGGAAUUUCGGAUUUUACACAGGUGGUUGGAUGUUACACUCUGGAAAUGGAAGGAAGGUGAGUGUUAUUAACCCUCUGUGGUCCAGGGACACGCUGCACCUCCAAAUCACAUGACUGAUGUAAGCUGACAUAGCAACAAGCUGCAGCCACGCUGAGUCUCUGUUUCAGCCCACAUUGAAAGUUCAGACUUCAAAGUUUUUAAAUUUUAAUUACAGGCCAGUAAAUCCAUAGUUAUGAUAAUAUAUAUAAUCCAUGCUUUUUUCUAAAUACUGUCGUCACGUUUUUUAUGUGUGUGUGUGUAUUUUAAGCGUUUUCUAAGGACUGCGCAAAAACAGUAAAGAAAGGAAAAGAAGCCACCUCUUUCCUAUCGGUGGAAAAAUGUACCAUGUCAACCAAUUUUUAAAAAAGUCAACACGUGGGAUUUGGUUGUUUAGGGAGAGGGGAGAGUUUUUAGAGUGACGGUAACGGCAGCGAGACAGAGCGAGCGAGUGAGAGAGAGAGAAAGAGAGAGAGAGAGCGAGCGAGCGAGCGAGUUUUUAGAUGUGGGAGAUUUGUGACGUUUAGUGUGGAGUGUACAGUUAGUGUGUUGUGUUGGCUUGUGUAGCUGUUCUGUUGUGUAGUCGUUUUGUUUUGUGUGUCAGUGAGGGAACUAAUGAAUGUCACUAAGGCACAUUUGCAACGUAAACACUGUCACUAAGUAGAAAACCAGCGGAGUGAUACACCUGCUGUUGUCAGGCCUGCAGGUUUAUCCCUGUGCUGUUCUUCUCUGUCUUUUGGUGGACAAACUUUUUUUUUACUGGCACACAUCAUUUGUGGGGCAUCUUAUUGCAACACCUGACUGUUCUCUCAUUUUAGUUUUAGUAAUAUUUUAAAUGGUUGUACAAAAUAAAAGAAACAGCAGGUGUAUUGGCUGCAUUUUUAGAUAAAUAGUUGUAUAUGUUUACAAAAUUUACAAUUUAUAUUUGCAUUUCAAGUUCUAAAAAUUUACUCAACAUGUCUGUGGGUUUUUUUCACAGUAAAAAAAAUACUACUAGGAUUUUAAGUUCUUUGUGUGAUUUCAGAUCAGUAAUACUAAUGCAGUAUGUCAGUGAAAAAAACAACUAAAUUCAGUUGAGCUGAAAAGAAUGAUACCAAACAAGGCAAGAGGAAAAAAAUAAAAUGAAACAAUUUGAGGGUGAAAUACAAACGUAAACUCAAAAGGAGUCAAACAUGGUCGGUUGUAUUUCAGACCUCAGUGGGUUAAUCCAACAAAUCAUGAAAAAUUAGGUUUAAAUUUUUGUUCAUGACAGUGCAGAUUUCUGACAUUUUGUGUAAUUUAAGCUGUAACAACGUGAUUGUUUUCUAACAAAAAACAGUGUGAAACUUAAGUUAGACUUGUGUUUGUAAAUGAACCGCCCCAUGUUGUGUAGCUUUCUGGAUUUUAUACUUAUUGGGCUACAUGUUUAUUUAUUAUACAGGCUAUACAGUACAUAAGAUCAAAACUCACAUGUUUUAUGUAACUAAAGUGUGUAAUUAUGUGGGCUACAGACAAUAAUUAAGUUAUAGACUAUAUUUAUAUGAAAAACGUGUAUACUUACUGCAUUUGAAUCAUUAUAACCAUAUGUAACCACCUGCAUAUGUGUUUGGGGAAAAAAGGCUUUGAUUUUGCCACCCCAUUUGAUUUCUUUGCCACCCUCAUGCCACCCUGAGAAAAUUUCUCUAGAUCCGCCCCUGGGGUAGAAAUGACUGAAAGAUUAUAAGGCUCUGUUUUGAGUUUUGUUCAAAAAAGAAUGACUUCAUAUAGGAAAAAAUAAAUAUCACCUUAAACUAGUUUUUAAUUGGGCUGUAUCAAGACACAGUGACUAAACCCCAAUUCAACCAAACCCAGAACUGAUCCGGAAUUAAAACAGGACUACAACAGUUCA